UGCGUAGGUGGCGCCGUAAGUCGGGUGUGAAAUUUCGGAGCUUAACUCCGAAACUGCAUUCGAUACUGCGGUGCUUGAGGACUGGAGAGGAGACUGGAAUUCAUGGUGUAGCAGUGAAAUGCGUAGAGAUCAUGAGGAAGACCAGUGGCGAAGGCGGGUCUCUGGACAGUUCCUGACACUGAGGCACGAAGCCAGGGGAGCAAACG
rnacentral:rRNA from 1 species